GCGGUAGUAGCUCAACUGGUAGAGCGUCUGCUUGCCAUGCAGGAGGUUGCCGGUUCAAAUCCGGUCUACCGCUCAA
rnacentral:tRNA from 1 species